rnacentral:lncRNA from 1 species
CUUUUUGUCAAUUACAUGUUGAUAGUACCUUAAGUCACUUGAGCCCUAAAUAUUAAAAUAGCAACAGUAUUAAAAUCUCAGAAAUCUUUUUAUUAUUCAUGAAUGUUUCAUGUUUAACAUUUUAAAAAUUACGUAAGUUUUUAUUGACUUUUCCUAGAUAGAAUUUGAAAAGAUAAAUUUAUUUUCUCUUCUCAUAGUAUAUGAUGAAUAGAUAAUUGAAAAGAGAUCCUCCAGAAAGAGCAGAAGGAAGUUUCUUCAAUGGCUUCCUUCAGGAUUUUAAUCAUCCUUACAGCCUCUUUGAGAAUGAUUGAACUUCCAAAUUCCCUGAAGUUAAAAUUUUAAAUUCUAUUAAACAUUUUUUCGAGUAUUUCA